UACGGAGGAUCCGAGCGUUAUCCGGAUUUAUUGGGUUUAAAGGGUGCGCAGGCGGAGAUAUAAGUCAGUGGUGAAAAACUGCCGCUCAACGGUAGUCUUGCCAUUGAUACUGUUUCUCUUGAGUAUGGAUGAGGUAGGCGGAAUGUGUAGUGUAGCGGUGAAAUGCAUAGAUAUUACACAGAACACCGAUUGCGAAGGCAGCUUACUAAUCCAUCAUUGACGCUGAGGCACGAAAGCGUGGGGAUCAAACAGGA
rnacentral:rRNA from 1 species